UACAGAGGUCUCAAGCGUUGUUCGGAUUCAUUGGGCGCAAAGGGUGCGUAGGCGGCGCGGUAAGCCGGGUGUGAAAUCUCGGGGCUUAACUCCGAAACUGCAUUCGAUACUGCCGUGCUUGAGGACUGGAGAGGAGACUGGAAUUUACGGUGUAGCGGUGAAAUGCGUAGAUAUCGUAAGGAAGACCAGUGGCGAAGGCGGGUCUCUGGACAGUUCCUGACGCUGAGGCACGAAGGUCAGGGGAGCAAACGGG
rnacentral:rRNA from 1 species